UGGUAAUACUAAAUCCAUUACAGCACAACCAAGUAAAACAUUGUCAUUUAGUUUAUACUUAAAUCAUAACUGAGAUCAUAGAACAUUUCUAAUCCGACAAAAUGAAGAUAAAAAAAAAUCGUUUAGGAGGGGUAUGCGUUGUUAAAUGUUGUGCAAAUGGAAUGAAUAAUUCCCCUAUUCAAUCAUUCUUCUGAACAAAUAUUUGACAAAAUGGGGGGCUUUAAUAACUGUAACCCUAGCUUGCUCUACAACAUAAUACAUCCACAAAAAGAAUAUAGAUUUCGUAUUCAUAUAAGUCUGAAAAUCAAACCCAAUAGAGUUAGAAUUAGAUUUUUAGGCUGACAAAUAUUUUUUGUCAAUUUACA
rnacentral:lncRNA from 1 species